rnacentral:rRNA from 1 species
GGAGGGUGCAAGCGUUAUCCGGAUUUACUGGGUUUAAAGGGUGCGUAGGUGGGUCUGUAAGUCAGUGGUGAAAUCUCCGGGCUUAACCCGGAAACUGCCAUUGAUACUAUAGGUCUUGAAUACUCUGGAGGUAAGCGGAAUAUGUCAUGUAGCGGUGAAAUGCUUAGAUAUGACAUAGAACACCAAUUGCGAAGGCAGCUUACUACGGGGUCAUUGACACUGAGGCACGAAAGCGUGGGGAUCAAACAGGAUUAGAUACCCUGGUAGUCCACGCCCUAAACGAUGGAUACUCGACAUCAGCGAUACACUGUUGGUGUCUGAGCGAAAGCAUUAAGUAUCCCACCUGGGAAGUACGAUCGCAAGAUUG